rnacentral:rRNA from 1 species
AGAGUUUGAUCCUGGCUUAGGAUGAACGCUGGCGGCGUGCCUAAUACAUGCAAGUCGAACGAGGUAUUAUACCGAGUGGCGAACGGGUGAGUAACACGUAGGUAACCUGCCUUACAGUUUGGGAUACCCUGGCGAAAGCUAGGCUAAUACCGAAUAAUUGGAUUGGAGGCAUCUCCGAUCUCUAAAAGGGGCCCUUAAAGCCUCGCUGAAUGAUGGACCUGCGGCGCAUUAGCUAGUUGGUGAGAUAAUAGCCCACCAAGGCGAGGAUGCGUAGCCGACCUGAGAGGGUGAACGGCCACACUGGAACUGAGACACGGUCCAGACUCCUACGGGAGGCAGCAGUAGGGAGUUUUCGGCAAUGGGGGAAACCCUGACCGAGCAACGCCGCGUGAAUGAAUGAAGGUCUUCGGAUUGUAAAGUUCUGUUGUAAGGGAAAAAUGAUAUGGUGAGGAAAUGCUCCAUAUUUGAUGGUACCUUAUUAGAAAGCCACGGCUAACUACGUGCCAGCCGCCGC